rnacentral:lncRNA from 1 species
AGAGAAGGAAGCGCUUUAGUGAGCUUCGGUUUUGAGAGAGGCCACCGACAAGGUUCCUACCAUUGCAAUCAAUGGAGGGGAUGAUCGGAGUUAUCCGAGAUGGAGGAGGGACCAAAGGGGCAGUGGGGGCACGUGGAGGAGGGACCAAAGGGACGAAGGGGAGCUCAAGUGCGACUCGGAUUCCCUCGGGCACCAAGGAUGUGUGUGGUUGGGCUCCCUUGGCAGCAUCCUCGCAUCGGGGAGGGGCAUGGGUUGUUGAGGGGGAUCCCCUGGCGCACGCCGGUUCUCUGUCGAGGCAUGACAUUUUCCAAGGAAACUCUAUGGUUGGGAAAUGUUGGCUAACUCGUGAGGAAUGUACGCAGGAGACCACUGGUUAAGUUUCAUUGCCUAUGGUACUAGGUGGGGGUGGAUUGCAGUAAUGUUAAGUUUGCAGUAGCAAACUUGAGGGCUAACAAAAGGGUUUUCACGGGAGGGAAUUUGAUAGAACACCUUGUCCAAUGGUUUUAUGUAGGGAAGGACUACAUGACCACCAAAUAUCAUCCAUGGGAGACCAGGGAACAAGGUACUUGUAGUAGAAUGCUAUAUUUGAUGCCAAAACUUAGUUUUAGAGGAACUGCUCAUUAUUUUCAUAUGUGCAUGCCAUGUUUGGGUGUGGCUAGAUGCAUUAACAUGCAAGAGAGGUUGUGGGAGAG